UAAGCACGUAUCCUUACCUGAAUACAUAGGGUAAGGAGGCGAACCGGGGGAACUGAAACAUCUAAGUACCCCGAGGAAAAGAAAUCAACCGAGAUUCCGAAAGUAGCGGCGAGCGAAAUUGGACUAGCCCUUAAGCUUUACACGCGUUAGACGAACGGUCUGGAAAGUCCGACGAUACAGGGUGAUAGUCCCGUAGUUGACGACGUGUGUUCAGUGAAAUCGAGUAGGGCGGGACACGUGAUAUCCUGUCUGAAUAUGGGGGGACCAUCCUCCAAGGCUAAAUACUACUGACUGACCGAUAGUGAACCAGUACCGUGAGGGAAAGGCGAAAAGAACCCCUGUGAGGGGAGUGAAAUAGAACCUGAAACCGUGUACGUACAAGCAGUAGGAGCAGGCUUUGUCCUGUGACUGCGUACCUUUUGUAUAAUGGGUCAGCGACUUAUAUUCAGUGGCAAGGUUAACCAUCUAGGGGAGCCGUAGGGAAACCGAGUCUUAACUGGGCGUUCAGUCUCUGGAUAUAGACCCGAAACCAGGUGAUCUAGCCAUGGGCAGGUUGAAGGUUGAGUAACAUCAACUGGAGGACCGAACCGACUAAUGUUGAAAAAUUAGCGGAUGACUUGUGGCUAGGGGUGAAAGGCCAAUCAAACCUGGAGAUAGCUGGUUCUCCCCGAAAGCUAUUUAGGUAGCGCCUCGGACGAAUACUACUGGGGGUAGAGCACUGUUAAGGCUAGGGGGUCAUCCCGACUUACCAACCCUUUGCAAACUCCGAAUACCAGUAAGUACUAUCCGGGAGACACACGGCGGGUGCUAACGUCCGUCGUGGAGAGGGAAACAACCCAGACCGCCAGCUAAGGUCCCAAAUUACUACUAAGUGGGAAACGAUGUGGGAAGGCUCAGACAGCCAGGAUGUUGGCUUAGAAGCAGCCAUCAUUUAAAGAAAGCGUAAUAGCUCACUGGUCGAGUCGGCCUGCGCGGAAGAUGUAACGGGGCUAAGUAGUAAACCGAAGCUGCGGCAAUGUGCUUUUGCACAUUGGGUAGGGGAGCGUUCUGUAAGCGGUUGAAGGUGUGUGGUAACGCAUGCUGGACGUAUCAGAAGUGCGAAUGCUGACAUGAGUAACGAUAAAGGGGGUGAAAAACCUCCUCGCCGGAAGACCAAGGGUUCCUGUCCAACGUUAAUCGGGGCAGGGUAAGUCGACCCCUAAGGCGAGGCCGAAAGGCGUAGUCGAUGGGAAACGGGUUAAUAUUCCCGUACUUCUUACAAUUGCGAUGGGGGGACGGAGAAGGCUAGGUGGGCCUGGCGACGGUUGUC
rnacentral:rRNA from 1 species